rnacentral:rRNA from 1 species
GAUGAACGCUGGCGGCGUGCCUAAUACAUGCCAGUCGAGCGAACGGACGAGUAGCUUGCUUUUCUGAUGUUAGCGGCGGACGGGUGAGUAACACGUGGAUAACCUACCUAUAAGACUGGGAUAACUUCGGGAAACCGGAGCUAAUACCGGAUAAUAUUUUGAACCGCAUGGUUCAAAAGUGAAAGACGGUCUUGCUGUCACUUAUAGAUGGAUCCGCGCUGCAUUAGCUAGUUGGUAAGGUAACGGCUUACCAAGGCAACGAUGCAUAGCCGACCUGAGAGGGUGAUCGGCCACACUGGAACUGAGACACGGUCCAGACUCCUACGGGAGGCAGCAGUAGGGAAUCUUCCGCAAUGGGCGAAAGCCUGACGGAGCAACGCCGCGUGAGUGAUGAAGGUCUUCGGAUCGUAAAACUCUGUUAUUAGGGAAGAACAUAUGUGUAAGUAACUGUGCACAUCUUGACGGUACCUAAUCAGAAAGCCACGGCUAACUACGUG